UCGGGAUCUGUUUUGGUGGUGUUGUGUUUUCAGUAGGUGUUCUUCUGAUGAUCAAAGAUGGUUAAUCUGACACCUUCCCUCGUGACAGACCCCCUUUCCUGGCGCCUGACAGCUAUUGUAAUGGCUGUCAUUAUAAUCGCCACCUCCGUCGCCGGAGCAGUUGCUCUGUUCAAGCAGGAGCUGGUUGACGCCUCUGGUGUGGUUAGAGAUGUAACCACUGGUAUUAUACGGAAUAUGAUCAACAAACUUAAGAAGGUCGUGAUUGUUCUCCGGCGCCUGGUCUGAACCAGAUAAGAGGACCAUGAAGUUUAACGACACUUUGAAGAGGACCGAUGUACAACGACUGUAGCAGUUUCAGUGAUGGACACAUGUUUGCUCCAGAAACUGAACGGAGACCAUGCAUAUUGUUCAUGUACAAUUUCGCCAGACAUGUUUGCAUUAACAUGAUAAUGUGCGGGAUCUACUCUGUUCCUGCAGCUGGGAUGCCAUGGCGUCAAGAGAGCAGUUACAACUUUCUUUGUGGUAUUGUUGCCUGAAUCCUCACACCAGUUCGACAAAGGUGUCAUAGUUCUAAAAUCACUAUAAUUAACCCAUAUUUCAAUAUUUUCACUGUUAGGUAACAAACGCAUUCUACAGAAGGCCUGAGUCCCUAUAUAUAGGCGGGGCGGUCGGGUAGCCCAGUGGUUAAAGCGUUCGCUCGUCACGCCGAAGACCCGGGUUCGAUUCCCGACAUGGGUACAAUGUGUGAAGCCCAUUUCUGGUGUCCCCCGCCGUGAUAUUGCUGGAAUAUUGCUAAAAGCUGCGUAAAACCAUACUCACUCACUCACUAUAUAUAGGCAGAUACUUCACUCUGCCACGAAUAAAGACUUAAAGGGACUCAGCAGCCUUCUCUCUGUUUUAAAAAGUAAGAUAGCAUUAUUUUCUUGUUAAAUUCUCCUUGCCUUUAACUUAUAUGAUAUCCUGUGCAAGCAACUAUAUAUUGACCAUGGUUUGUAUUAUUUAAGAAUAAGUUAUAUGUCAUUCAUUAUACCGCAAAGCAACUUGGAUGUCAAUUGUAUGUGUGUGUUUAUAUAGAUAUUGUAGAUUAGUUCACUUGUACAUUAACUGUUGAUGUGCCAAGUGAUAGACAAAGCCGUACAUUACAUAGCAUGAGAAAGGGUACAUUGUGGUAAAUACCCGCGGGUAAUCUCACGUAAAUACCGUCUCAUGCGAAUUUGGUCAUGCUACGUCUAUCAAUUGGUUAUAAUAAACAUU